UAUCUGUAUAUAUACAUAUGUAUAUAUCUGUAUAUAUGUAUAUAUAUCUGAAUGUAUAUAUACACAUAUGUAUCUAUAUAUAUACACAUAUAUACAUCUAUAUACAUAUACAUAUAUAUACAUCUGAAUGUUUCUUUCCUCUAUAAAGCUAAGCAAAUUUUCUAAACCACAAGACUGCAGUUGUUUUUUUUGUUUGUUUGUGUUUUUUUUAACUGACAUAAAAAGACCAAAGGUAGAUAAAACCACAAAGAUGGGGAAAAAACAGAGCAGAAAAACCGGAAAAUCUAAAAAUCAGAGCGCCUCUCCUCCUCCAAAGGAACGCAGCUCCUCACCAGCAACGGAACAAAGCUGGAGGGAGAAUGACUUUGACAAGUUGAGAGAAGAAUGCUUCAGAAGAUCAAACUACUCUGAGCUAAAGGAGGAAGUUCGAACCAAUGGCAAAGAAGUUAAAAAUCUUCAAAAAAAAAACUAGAUG
rnacentral:lncRNA from 1 species